rnacentral:rRNA from 1 species
UACGAAGGUGGCAAGCGUUGUUCGGAUUUAUUGGGCUUAAAGCGCACGUAGGCGGCUCUUCAAGUGUCUUGUGAAAUCCCUCGGCUCAACCGAGGAGUUGCUGGGCAUACUGUCGAGCUUGAGGUAGGUAUGGGUAAGUGGAACUCUUGGUGGAGCGGUGGAAUGCGUAGAUAUCAAGAGGAACGCCGGUGGUGAAGACGACUUACUAGGCCUAUCCUGACGCUGAGGUGCGAAAGCCAGGGGAGCGAACGGG